UACGUAGGGCGCAAGCGUUGUCCGGAAUUAUUGGGCGUAAAGAGCUCGUAGGCGGCCUGUUGCGUCCGCUGUGAAAGCCCGGGGCUUAACCCCGGGUCGGCAGUGGAUACGGGCAGGCUAGAGGUAGGUAGGGGAGAAUGGAAUUCCCGGUGUAGCGGUGAAAUGCGCAGAUAUCGGGAGGAACACCGGUGGCGAAGGCGGUUCUCUGGGCCGGAACUGACGCUGAGGAGCGAAAGCGUGGGGAGCGAACAGG
rnacentral:rRNA from 1 species